CCUACGGGCGGCUGCAGUGGGGAAUAUUGCACAGUGGGCGCAAGCCUGAUGCAGCCAUGCCGCGUGUGUGAAGAAGGCCUUCGGGUUGUAAAGCACUUUCAGCGGGGAGGAAGGCGGUGAGGUUAAUAACCUCAUCGAUUGACGUUACCCGCAGAAGAAGCACCGGCUAACUCCGUGCCAGCAGCCGCGGUAAUACGGAGGGUGCAAGCGUUAAUCGGAAUUACUGGGCGUAAAGCGCACGCAGGCGGUCUGUCAAGUCGGAUGUGAAAUCCCCGGGCUCAACCUGGGAACUGCAUUCGAAACUGGCAGGCUAGAGUCUUGUAGAGGGGGGUAGAAUUCCAGGUGUAGCGGUGAAAUGCGUAGAGAUCUGGAGGAAUACCGGUGGCGAAGGCGGCCCCCUGGACAAAGACUGACGCUCAGGUGCGAAAGCGUGGGGAGCAAACAGGAUUAGAUACCCGAGUAGUC
rnacentral:rRNA from 1 species